GAUGAACGCUGGCGGCGUGCCUAACACAUGCAAGUCGAACGAAGCGCUAUAGUUGGAUUCUUCGGAAAAAGAGUAUAGUGACUGAGUGGCGGACGGGUGAGUAACGCGUGGGCAACCUGCCCCAUACAGGGGGAUAACAGUUAGAAAUGACUGCUAAUACCGCAUAAGCGCACGGCAACGCAUGUUGCUGUGUGAAAAACUCCGGUGGUAUGGGAUGGACCCGCGUCUGAUUAGCCAGUUGGCAGGGUAACGGCCUACCAAAGCGACGAUCAGUAGCCGGCCUGAGAGGGUGGACGGCCACAUUGGGACUGAGACACGGCCCAA
rnacentral:rRNA from 1 species